rnacentral:tRNA from 1 species
AGAGGAGUAGCCAAGCGGUAAGGCAACGGACUGUUAAUCCGUUCAUCGGUGGUUCGAAUCCACCCUCCUCUGCCA